rnacentral:rRNA from 1 species
UACGUAGGGUGCAAGCGUUGUCCGGAAUUAUUGGGCGUAAAGAGCUCGUAGGUGGCCUGUCGCGUCGGCUGUGAAAAACUCGGGGCUCAACUCCGAGCUUGCAGUCGAUACGGGCAGGCUAGAGUUCGGCAGGGGGAGACUGGAAUUCCUGGUGUAGCGGUGAAAUGCGCAGAUAUCAGGAGGAACACCGGUGGCGAAGGCGGAUCUCUGGGCCAUUACUGACGCUGAGGAGCGAAAGCGUGGGGAGCGAACAGG